GGUGAGUUCCCUCCACCACCACCACCAUCGCCCAAGACAUGGGAUUUUCACUAGCAAACACCACUACAUCACCAACGCAGCUCGGUCCUCUCUCCUUUCUCUUCUUUCCCUCUCCUCUUUGUUGCUGCCUCGUUGGAGGUGACGAUCAGCAAGCUCUAACAGUUGCCAUCAUUGUGGAAAUACCCUUCCCAUCUCCCUUUGAUUCAUUAUUACUUAUAGGGAAAAUGGCAUUUUCAACCAUUGACACCAAAAAGGGCCAGAUUCGGUCGAAAUUUCAGUGGCAACUCCAAAAAGUUCAUAUCUAGCAUGAAAAUCAUUUCUUUCGAUCAUCGUUUUUAUAUUUUUAUAAUUUUGUUAUACUGAG
rnacentral:lncRNA from 1 species